AUGCAUGAAUCAAACAAUUGACUUUUAAAAAUAAAAGGAACAAAAGUGUUAACUUUAAUAUAAAGACUAAAAAGUAAUUUACCCUAAUAAAAAUAAAUUAUUUAUAGACUCAGAUGACUUCUUGCCUGCCUAUUCCCUUAAAGCUCGUAAUGAUCCUAGUUUUGGGUCGUUUACACAAAUAUCACUGAUGAAAUGAGCAAGUGAAUUCAUAAUCAUGUAAAUAAUCACUCAAAAGGAAGUUUGAGCCUUAGUGCUAUAACAGAACUUUUUUUUAGAAGAACAACAACCAUUAUUCUAAACUUAAUUAAUUAUUAAGUUAAGUUUAUUUUGGUUUAAGAAAAUUACAAUCAUAAAGAUACAGAAUUACCAUGUAGAAUAAAAGAUCACUUGUCUCCAAUAAUUCUAGAAUUGUGGCCUUGCCUGAACCACAUAUAUGACUCCAUCUUUAACCACUCCUUCAAUAUCCUGGGGGCAACCACAAAGACCUUCUAUGAUUUUUCCUGCUUCUGCAAUUUUUGAGAAGAUUGACGUUUGGAAAGCCUUAUCAACCAUCAAUCGGUCGCUGGAGUAGUCUAAUAUUACUUUCUCCUCUUCAUCCAUAAGGACGCUACAAUGAUUUUGAUAUUAAGAUAUUGGGGGAAACAAUAUGUGAAGCAAGCAUUUGCCCUUUUACAUUGAUAAGUACAACCACAAGAUUGCAUGGAAAAAUUUAUUAUUGCACUAAAAAUCAAAAUUUUUCUUUAUAUUGGUAUCAAAUAAAGGACUUGUAUGCACAAGGCAUAAAAAUGAAAAUACAAAAACAACAAAAUAUAUGAAUAUAAACAAAGAAAAUGCAUAUGAUACAAUGUUGCGGACCAUCCAAAGGUGUUCAACAAUGUAGCAAAAAAUUAAAAAUGAAAAUAAUGUUGAAAGCUGUGGUAGGGCUUCAACCCCAGCCUAGAAGUGAGCCAAAAAAACACUAAUCAAAAUGAAAACCGAUUAAAAAAAUGGGUCUAUCAAACCAAAAUACUCAGUUAUGGUGUUUUAAUUUUAGAAAACCAACAAUUAAUCAAACCCCUCAAAAAACAAAAAGCAAAAUGCUUAUACACUUAUAAUUUUUUUUUUAAUUAUUUAUCAAUAUUGUUAAUAAACUAAUAUUUUUAUCACUUCCAUUUUUUAACUAAAUUAUUAUAAAUUUAUGAUUGAAGUCUUUACUAUUUAUUCUAUAUAAUUAAUUAAAACCAAAAUUAAAAUUAUAUACUAUAAAUUAAACUUGAUUUAUUAAAAAAUAAAAAACUGACCGAACCGAACCAAACCAGUAAAAAACCAAUCAAACAAUUACACUGUCUUAAUGGUUCGGUUAAAAAAAAUUUCUCAAUAGUUUCGUUAACCAAAUCAUGAGCACUGCUAUCGAAGCCAAAUGGUGUUGAAAUGAGCAAAACAAAAGCUACUUCCAUGAUUUCUAAAAGGAAAUCAAGGCACUCAUCUUGAUGGAAAACAUCUUAUAUCUGUUUUCAAUGGGCAUUAUAAUUUUAGUAAAUAGAAAAAUCAGUUUCAGUUUUCCUUUUGGAAAAUUCUCAUAUUUUUUUCAGUUUUAUUUAAAAAAAUAUAUAAAAAAAUAAAAAUAAAUAAAUCUAAAACUAGGAGUAAACACACCCAUAACAUCCGAAUAAAAUUCCACAAACAGACCUGUCAUAGAGCCCAGCUCCAGCAUAUCCUUCUAGAUCUUCACCAUUUGAGUCUGAUCUGAAUAUAAUGGACUGCUUACUGUAUAGCCCUAUAUUCUUGCUUGGAUAACCAGUAACCUGAAAUUCAGAUUGACAUUAAGUUUUUCAUAUGGCAGAAAGAUUCAUAUUAAUUUUCAGAAGUUACUUGUAAAUGAAUUGCCAUAGCAUCCUAAGAUUUGGCAAGCUAGCAUAUUUAACUAAAAGCUCAUUCAGAUUAAUGUGGCAUUUUAUCCAGGUAAAGAGAGAAUUUACUGAAAUAUGUACAAGAAAUUACAAUAGGAAACUUUAGAUUGCUUUUUCUGGUGAUGAAGCUCAUUGAGCGUCCCGGAUAUGCACCCACCAAAGUCUCUCCCAGGCCCUUCACAAUCUCAGUAUAUAUCUCUGAGGCAUCCCCUGAUAGGGGAUUCUUUGUGUGAAUGACAAAUGCGUAGUCACCGCUAAUGAUUUCUUGAACCAGUACAGCCAUGCGUAGGUUAUCAUGAUCCAGAUUAGCUUUCCUACAACUAACAUAUGCUCUUUCAUUCCACUUUGAAGCCCAAACCUUCUUUAUUGCCUGCCAAGCACGAUUCCAUCUUUCCUCACCCUCAUCACCAGGCCAAGGUAUUCUCGAACUUCUCAUUUUGCUCUUAAGCUCGUAGGUCUACCCAAAAGUUAAAAAAUAACAAACAAACAGUGAAGGCUAUGAAGCAAGAUAUAUGGGCAGGUAACAUGCUAUCAUAGGAUUACCAUAUGAAUUCUUUUUUUUCUUUAACUGACGAAUUUUAUAAUGAUAUAAUGAAGUUUAAUAGUACUCUUGUUGCUAUAGUAAUGAAAUCCUGUUACAAGGUAACAACAUCACCAAUCAUCUGAUGAAGCAAUAGAAUUUGAGAGCACUGGUAAGAAAGAGAAGCAACAAUAUAGGUUCCUCCAUAAAACCUAGGAAAGCAAAAACAGACAGACAUUUUAUUUAUUAAACUUGUGCAUACAAAUAGGUUUUCCCCAAAAGAUAAUUUGUUCAAUUAGAAAUAUAAAAAUAAGUCUCCUCUAGAAAUUGAUAACAUCUCCUCUAUAAAUUGAUAACAUAGGAUCUUGCAAGGAUUACCAGAGUCAAAAGUGACCAUUUAACAGGAAUUAAGAUUAUGUAGUAAGUUCUCAAAUAUAUAAAAUUACCAAAGACAAUGGUGUAUUCAUUUGUUGAAUAGCAUCUUGUAUUGCUCGAAGUUUGGUCAAAUCACCACCCAGUACAGAUUUGUAGAAGCAAGAAAUCCUGCUCGCUAUAUCCUGAAAAAAAUUAUAGGGUAUCCAAUGCCAAUUAGUAUAUACAAAAUUAUUAACUCAUUUACAAGAUCUAAUACCAUGUGCAGUAUUAAAUAUUAAAGCUACAAAAAGAAAAUAAAUAAAAAAUUAAAAAAAAAUAAAUUUUACUGGAGAAAACGUAGUAUAAAUUGAAAAUGGCAACAUCCACAAAGGUUUUCCUCCAUGUAGUAUCUCAGUUUGCUUCAAGCCUUCAAUCAUGCACUGUCCAAACACAAGCUACAAAGAAUAUUUAUCAAGCUGGGUAGAAUUAUGAAUAUUUGGUACCCUGCCUAAUAAUUUAUUAGAAAGGAAGGCAGCUGCAGGCUCAAAAUUAUAGAAAUAAAUAAAAAGGAAAUAAUUCAACUAUACUAAACUCUUGGUAGUAGGGUCAAAUGAGCAGAGCCAACCUGAUCCUUUUGGCCAUUUAUGAAACGAGAUUUAAAUUUAGGCUAUGGUUUCACUAAUUUGUUGAAGCUAAACUGAGAUACGCAUGGCCCUGUCCUUAUAUGACUCAUUUGUUAAAUGAGCCUGAAUGACCCUAAAUGAGCCAAAAUUGAGUCCAAGACUUUCCUAAAAAACUUAAGUUGUAAAUAAAAUGAUUUAUAAAUACAUUUGAUAAAACUUUUUUUUUUUUUUUUACUUUAGAAAGCUUACUACACUUGUUAAUAUGUAUAUUAUUACUAAGUAAUAUUUUAAAAAUCUAAUACUGUGUGGCUCGAAAUAUUAAAGCUACAAAAUUUUCAAUUUUGGAGAAAACAUAAUACAAAUUGAAAAUGGCAAUAUCCAAGAAAGAUUUUUGCCAUGCAAUAUCUU
rnacentral:misc_RNA from 1 species